UACGUAGGGUGCAAGCGUUGUCCGGAAUUAUUGGGCGUAAAGAGCUCGUAGGCGGUCUGUUGCGUCGGCUGUGAAAACCCGGGGCUCAACCCCGGGCCUGCAGCCGAUACGGGCAGACUAGAGUUCGGCAGGGGAGACUGGAAUUCCUGGUGUAGCGGUGAAAUGCGCAGAUAUCAGGAGGAACACCGGUGGCGAAGGCGGGCCUCUGGGCCGAUACUGACGCUGAGGAGCGAAAGCGUGGGGAGCGAACAGG
rnacentral:rRNA from 1 species